rnacentral:tRNA from 1 species
CCCGUAGCUCAGUAGGAUAGAGCGGCAGGUUCCUGAUCUGCAGGUUCGAUUCCUGUCAGGACCA